rnacentral:rRNA from 1 species
CCUACGGGAGGCAGCAGUGGGGAAUAUUGCACAAUGGGCGAAAGCCUGAUGCAGCAACGCCGCGUGAAGGAAGACGGUUUUCGGAUUGUAAACUUCUGUUCUUAGUGAAGAAUAAUGACGGUAACUAAGGAGCAAGCCACGGCUAACUACGGUCCAGCAGCCGCGGUAAUCCGUAGGUGGCAAGCGUUGUCCGGCAUUACUGGGUGUAAAGGGAGCGUAGGCGGGAAGUCAAGUCAGCUGUGAAAACUACGGGCUUAACCUGUAGACUGCAUUUGAAACUGGCUUUCUUGAGUGAAGUAGAGGUAGGCGGAAUUCCGAGUGUAGCGGUGAAAUGCGUAGAUAUUCGGAGGAACACCAGUGGCGAAGGCGGCCAACUGGGCUUUAACUGACGCUGAGGCUCGAAAGUGUGGGGAGCAAACAGGAUUAGAUACCCUAGUAGUC